ACGAACUGGUGGGACUCGGCUCCUCACCGAGGGGGCUGCGAGCAUCCCGCCCGCCUUUGCUGGGGAGAAAAACGUCCCCCGGACAUCUGCAUCUGGGCGAACGAAGCAGCCGCGCGCAACAGAAAGCAGCAGCAACUGGGGGAUCCCGACAAUCGCUCUCAGUGUCGCCACUGCUAUAGGUCCUGGCCUACGCACCCUGAUCAGGAAUUCGAGCCCCAGCCGACUAAGUGUGAUACGCAGGAAGCAAAGAAACUGGGUGGUUGAGGAGGGAAUAGAAAUGUGCAUUUCUCAAGGAGCUCUGGCACUAUGUUUGUGGAGCAACAUUGGUCCAUCGUGUUGCAAAAGAUUUUCAGGCCGCACUUGCAAAUGCAAUUCUUGGGCUGUAUGAAUAUUUCACAACCACUGACUCCCUGGGGACAGCGCCUGCGGAGGAGGCAGGCUCUGCGGGGAUGGAAAUUGCAACAAAUGACAAUCCUGACGAAAGAUCUGUGCUCUGAGGGCAUCUCUGCCUGAGCAGAUCCCAUCCCGCAACAACGUGGAAUAAACCAUUUUAUAGAUUUGGAGAGCUAAGGCUGGCUGGAUCUGUCAGGAUUCUCUGCUUUGAGCUCCUCGUAAGGCAGAUGGAAACAUCUUCCCUGCUGUAGAUACGUAGUGUCCUAGCCCAGAGUGCGGUACAACUCUUCCGGUGAAUCUUUUUCCACCCGAUGGCUAGACAGAGGACAUUCGUCAUGUAAUUCCCUCCAUCCCAACACACGAUAUUUUUGCUCCGUGUGGUUUUGGAGGACUGGGGAGAAUGGGUCCAUCUCUGAUCGCAUCUCAAAGACAAGGUCAGUUGGAGGGGACUUCAUAUGGCAAACUCUGGGCUGUCUUGGUGAUGCUUCCCCAAGAAAAACAGAAACAGAAAAGUUACUGUAAAGUCUGCGCCUGGUUUGAGUUGUGCUCUUCAGAACUUUUCUUUUUUUUCAAGAAACAAGAAGUGUCGAUUAGAAAAAGCUGGGAUGGCUCCCACUUUAUUGCCCUUUUUUGUUGUGAAACAGAGAAUAAUUGCCAGUCUACUUUUUCAGAAUGUGCUAGUUUGUGACAGUCUGUCUCCUGCAAAUAAGUUUAAAAUCCUGGUAGAUACCUGGAACCCAGUGUUUUGACUCACUCUUGGUAAUGAGAGAUGUGGAACUUGAUUUGCAUCUGCUGCAAUAAUUUUCUUUUGCAUUUCUCUUCUAUUGGAGUUGAAAGGAAGAUACCUGGAUCUGGGUUUCGUCUGCUCUAGGACUUUCUCACAGGCCGGAUCUCCUGCAACCUGUUGCAAACCUUCUGCUAAACGGACUCGAUUUUAAGCAAAUGAUGGGGAGACAGUGGGUUUCAGGUGGGUGCUAUCGCAUUUUCAUACAUGUGCAAUGGCAGAUUUUAAUUCAUCGUUAGGAGAAAGGACACAACAACGUUUGCCUGGAGUGAUACGCUGGGAAGGGCUGCAGAACCCCUAUGAAAACCACAUUCUCAGGGCCAUUAGCAAAGGUCCUGUGAUAUCAGCAAACAUUUGGCAAACCAUAUUUUCAAGCUGAAUGAUAUUUUCAACCUUAGCUACAUUCUGCACAGGGAAACGGUGGCAUGCUAAAGAUAUGCAAGGAAAACAGCUGUGCAUUCAUGAUAAAAAUACAGACACUUGUGACCGCUGAAGGUAUUGCCAUGUUUCAAGGUGGCCAUGUGCCAGAGCAAAACCAGCAUGCGUAUAGGGUCUACCCAAAUCCACAUUUCCCAAGUGAUGGAUGGUGAAUCAUUUGCCAGUGAUAUUAUUAUUAUACCAGGAUGUGGAAAGCUUUGUGGUCGGCUUUGGAGGUGGCGACAUCAUCGACGGUUAUGAAACUCUUGAAGAUUGACACAGGAGGAAGAAGAAUGGAAGUCUAUGGGAGAAAAUAGAAUCUGGAGGAGAAUGACAGGCUGCUCAGCAAAAGCUUAACAGGAGGAUUGACGAUUAUGCGGAUUUUAGACACUGUCUGUUAACCUACUAAUAGAAUGUGACUGCAUUGCGCGUGGCAUUCAGCAGUAACCAAUCAAAUGAUGGCUUAAACGCGUGAACAGACAACAACACUAUAUAACCUGCGGUUUCGCUUAAUAAAGGGUCUUCUGAUCAAUA